GACGAACCGUGCGAACGUUAUUCGGAAUCACUGGGCUUAAAGGGCGCGUAGACGGACGAUCGCGUCGAGUGCUGAAAGCCCCCGGCUUAACCGGGGAAUGGGCCUCGAAACGGGUCGACUCGAGUGGAAGAGAGGGAUCUGGAACGGCCGGUGGAGCGGUGAAAUGCGUUGAGAUCGGCAGGAACGCCAAUGGCGAAAGCAGGAUCCUGGAUUCCCACUGACGUUGAGGCGCGAAAGCCAGGGGAGCGAACGGG
rnacentral:rRNA from 1 species